ACCAGGAUGGCCGAGUGGUUAAGGCGUUGGACUUAAGAUCCAAUGGACAAUUAGUCCUCGUGGGUUCGAACCCCACUCCUGGUA